rnacentral:rRNA from 1 species
UACGAAGGGGGCUAGCGUUGCUCGGAAUGACUGGGCGUAAAGGGCGCGUAGGCGGCUUGCACAGUCAGAUGUGAAAUUCCUGGGCUUAACCUGGGGGCUGCAUUUGAUACGUGUGAUCUAGAGUGAGGAAGAGGGUCGUGGAAUUCCCGGUGUAGAGGUGAAAUUCGUAGAUAUCGGGAGGAACACCGGUGGCGAAGGCGGCGACCUGGGUAGAUACUGACGCUGAGGUGCGAAAGCGUGGGGAGCAAACAGG